rnacentral:rRNA from 1 species
AGUGAACGCUGGCGGUAGGCCUAACACAUGCAAGUCGAACGGCAGCACAGUAAGAGCUUGCUCUUACGGGUGGCGAGUGGCGGACGGGUGAGGAAUACAUCGGAAUCUACUUUUUCGUGGGGGAUAACGUAGGGAAACUUACGCUAAUACCGCAUACGACCUACGGGUGAAAGCAGGGGAUCUUCGGACCUUGCGCGAUUGAAUGAGCCGAUGUCGGAUUAGCUAGUUGGCGGGGUAAAGGCCCACCAAGGCGACGAUCCGUAGCUGGUCUGAGAGGAUGAUCAGCCACACUGGAGCUGAGAUACGGUCCAGACUCCUACGGGAGGCAGCAGUGGGGAAUAUUGGACGAUGGGCGCAAGCCUGAUCCAGCCAUACCGCGUGGGUGAAGAAGGCCUUCGGGUUGUAGAGCCCUUUUGUUGGGAAAGAAAAGCAGCAGGUUAAUACCCCGCUGUUCUGACGGUACCCAAAGAAUAAGCACCGGCUAACUUCGUG